CUGCCCUCCAGCGGGAAGGGGCGCCAGCACAGAGAGAGAAAGGAGGAGGAAGGGAGUACACAGCUGGUGCCUGGGACUCCUUGGGCCCUUUAAUAAUAGUCUGGCGGGACGGCAUCCCUGAAGGAUCCCAGCAGCAUCGCGUACGGCAGGGAGAUGGGGAGGUCUGUGCUGCAAGUACAGUCCCUCCUUCCCGCCGGGACCACAUGCCAUGCGGUGCCCGAACGCCCAGAGAGCGGGGACGGGGAGAGCUGGCGGAGGUCACAGCAGUCGGCAGCAGGCAUCUGGCAAAACCGGAGCAGCACCGCAGAGCGAGGAAGUGUGUGGGAGAUGCCUGGAUGCCUGCAAAUGCCUUGGAGCUGCGGGGUUAAGAUAUGCGUACUGAAGGUGAAGCAAAUGACAGCGCAGUGAUGUAGGAUGCAUCAUCCAAAACGGGAUUCUGCUGGAAGGCAGUGGCCUCCGGCACUAGGCUUUCUGAGACAGAGGGGCUCGGCAGGGCCUAGGGAAGCGGGAGGAACUUCCCUGGGUCAUGCCAUGGCCCAGGGCACCAGAGACCCUUCUGUUUGUAUAAUUUGGGGAGGUCAGAGGUCGAUACACUCACACUACUACAAAAUUUAAGCCAGUUUCUGCCAGAGUGACAUCUGUGGCUCAGGAGACCAAGAAUUCACAUGGUAAAAAUUCAGGUGCUGUUUAAUCUCUCAGAAAAGUCAGCAGAGCCCACAGGAAAGACCACUGUUACAAGGAUCAGCCAAAAAGCAGUGCUUGGAGAGCAUCAUGGCUGGAUCAGCUUGGGGUAGCACAAAUAAGCAUGAUGGGAUGGCACAAGGGUGAAAGAUAAUAGGUUUUUGUAAAAUGCAUAAUUUAAUAACUAAACCACACUCUUUUCAAUAGAUAGCAUUGCAGGUAAGCUGCCUGCAUCAUUCAGGUUCCACAUGCCCCUACGUUAAAGCAACUCCAACAGUUGUAAUGAUGUCCCAAUUGUAUAUUUUCUGCUUUGCCUGUACAUAAUAAAACCGAGUUUAGCUCUCUCUGAAGCACAGUCAUAUAUAAAGAAUGCAAACAAGCAACUGAGCCUCAUCUCUGCAAACAGAAAGGCACGUGACUGUUUGCUGCAGCCUUGCUCUAUUGCACCUGCAGACAUUUCUUUAGAGAAAUCUGUGGUUUUGAGAACAGGUGGGCGAUACUUAAGAUGACAGAGCAGAUCCUAUUCCUGCUAAACUGACUUCACAGAGCACAGUACCAGGCCCAGAGCUGUUGUACAAAACCAGAAAAAGCAAACAACCUGAAGGCACUUGUUUCCCCUAAAGAGGUGUGUAGCCUUUCACAGGGCAAAACAUGUGGCAGAGAAUCACCUUGAAUCACCAGAAAAAGAGUUUUCACAUCACUGUCAGGCUAGACAUGUCCCAGGUACCACAUAUUAGCUGUUCAGAGAGUUCAGUGUGGCUUUACAGGAAAGGAAUUACUGUGAACCUUUGUAUUGUAGAAAGAUUUCCACAUAGCUCCUUUUGUUCAGGGUAGGCUUUUGUAAUCCCUCCUCUUGUUCAGCUACAUGGUGGUCUUUCCUGUUCUUCAAUAUAAAAAAACCCAAGCAUAUAAAAUGCCUUAUCUUCUGGCACUUGUGCUAACCUGAAAUAACCACACACCCAAAGGAAGUGAAACUCCUAGGAAGAGAACCACGAGAGUAACCCCCCCUUUUUUAAAGAUACCAGCCUUGCACUGCUUCUGUUUAAGCAAUGAAAGCACUUGACUUCUGCUCAUUCUGACUGAUAUUUUCUGCAUUUGCAAUAGAAUGAUUUUUGCUGUUGUUGGCCUUCCCACGACCUGUGUGUCAUUCAAUAAACCUCUGAGGCUCUCAGCACUGAGUAGCAGCUCUGGCUUCAGUUGGACUCCACAAGGUCGUGACUGGGGGUUCUCAAUUUGGGCUAAAGUCGGCAUGUGCCAUCCUGUAGGUUUAAGCAUUAAGUAAUUGGUUCUGUUUUUCUCUUUUAGUCUGACUGGUGCUAUGCUUCCAACUUACUGAAAAUAUUCAAGUCACGCAAACCCCGGUGUACCUGUCACUGCAUGCUCGCGGAAAAUGAGCCUAAGCUGAAAAUUCUAUACCUAAAGGGCUUGAAACUGUCAUCCUGAUGCCAGAUCCUACUGAAUUUUACAAGUAUGAAAGGGUACCUUCCACAUACUCUUAAUAACCUUGAUGAAAGGACUCAGGCCCUGUAAAGGUUGCUCUGACCAAACCAAUGCAAACACAAUCGAAGUGAUGCAGCAAAAUUGCCUGGAUUUGAAAACAUGCCAGGGCCAAAUUAUGGUGCUUAAGAAGCUCAAGGGCAGGCAGAUUCUGUGAAGUACUGAGCCCUCCUGGAGCCAAGGGGAGUUUGAAAAGUCCUCAACAUCUUUCCACUUUUGGCUACCUCAUAAUAUAGGCAUUAAUGUAUGCACAGCCUAUUUUUAGAAUCUGUAACAUGUUUUCUGGGUAAAAAAGCACUUGAAAGACCCCUUCUUCUCCCUUAGAGUUGACAUUG